CGAACAAACCGCUCAGACCAUCAAAAAACGCGCA
rnacentral:misc_RNA from 1 species